rnacentral:misc_RNA from 1 species
GCGAGUAUGGCCCUCACGGGUCUAAUCCACCAUAAACACCUUUGUGAACCAGUUAGGGGGACUCGGCCGUGAAAGCCCAGGCGAUUAGCGGAAGGGCCCUCCUUUGCAAACCCGUUUAGAAGUCUUGAAAGUACUUUUGUAUAAUCUAGUA